rnacentral:lncRNA from 1 species
UCUAGUGUUGCAUUAACCAAUCUGCAAACCCUUUCUUACAUUACCUUUGGUAGUAUUACAAGGCGCGUCUUUGAAGGCAUGCCCAACCUGAAGAAGUUAGGAAUUCGUGAAAGUGAAGAAGAAUGCCUGACUGCUGAACAAAUGUCUGGAAAACUCAAGAAACUGGUUCUGUUGGAACACCUUGAAACAUUCAAGGGUUUCUUUAUCAAACCAUGGAUACUUAAACAAUGUGAUGUUUUCCCACCAACCCUCAAGAAAUUGACGUUGCGGGGGUGCCAACUACCAUGGGACCAAAUGACGAUACUGUGCAAGUUACCCAAACUCGAGGUG